UACGGAGGGUGCAAGCGUUAUCCGGAUUCACUGGGUUUAAAGGGUGCGUAGGAGGGCAGGUAAGUCAGUGGUGAAAUCUCCAAGCUUAACUUGGAAACUGCCGUUGAUACUAUCUGUCUUGAAUACCGUGGAGGUGAGCGGAAUAUGUCAUGUAGCGGUGAAAUGCUUAGAUAUGACAUAGAACACCAAUUGCGAAGGCAGCUCGCUACACGAAUAUUGACUCUGAGGCACAAAGCGUGGGGAUCAAACAGG
rnacentral:rRNA from 1 species